rnacentral:lncRNA from 1 species
GAGCAACGGUUCUCAACCAAAUUAUCUGAGCGGUUCGGAUUCUUCGAAGCAACGGAAUUUGGUUAGGAUUUCUACACUUCUCUAAUUUGGUCUUCUCAAAUUUACGAAAAAAAUUUUCGGUAUUUUUUUUAGAGUUUUCGUUUGAACAAGAGAACGGUGGAAUCCACCAUACGGCUCUUGAUUUUUAUUCGGAUAAGAUAUAAAGUGUAAGCCUGUACUUCAAUUUCUUCAUAUAGUGGAAUACAUCUCUCUCGCUCUCUCCGUGGACGUAGAAAAUUGCCGAACCACGUAAAUCUUGAUUUCUUCUUUCUGUAUUUAUUUUUUUUACCGUUCGGUUGAUUUUCUCUAUUUUUCGUGCAUCUUUGUUGGUAACGCAUGCCGAACCUCUCGAAAACCCUAGGUGAGUAAUCGUCUUCUCUCAGGUGAUCUCCUGAUUUAAACGUUCCUAAAAGUUCGAGGACUAUAAUGUGAUAUCGCUAAAAGUCCGGGGAGUAGUGUGCAAUCUCUCUCUCUCUCUCUCUCUCUCUCUCUCUGCUUCGUCUCUGCGAAAAUGGCGGAGAUAUCUCUCGCCUACAUCUCCCGAUAAUCGAACCUCUCGAAAACCCUAGGCGAGUAAUCGUCUUCUCUCAGGUGAUCUCCUGUUAUAUACCGGAUGAUUUGGGGGUGAGUUUGUGAAAGAGAAGGAGAGGUAGAGAAACAGAGAGAGAUAGGGAGAGAGAUUGGGAGGAAGAGAAUAGGGUUUUAGAAAAAUUAGAAUAGGGUUUUGGGGAAUGAGAAAAAGCGGAUAAUUGGGA